CCUACAGUCACUUCCUUUAGCCUGUACAAAAUAUGAAGAUGUGUCCACAAUCAUAAAACCCUUCAAUUAUACCACCAGAAGUAAAAGUAAUGCCUGGCAGGCCCAAGAAAGUGAGAAGGAAGGAACCAACUGAAAACAAAAUAGGAAAGCUUUCCAAAAGAGAUACCCAAAUGACCUGUAACAAAUGUCAUGCUAAAGGCCAUAACAAGAAAGGUUCUCACAAGGCUACACAAGGUACUGCAAGAUCAAAUGGUGGUGCAAAGUCAUCAAGUGUUGGUCCUUCAUCAACACCUUCAGUACAAAGUGUACCAAAAACAGGAACAAGAAGAGGAAGAGGAAGACCAAGAGGUUUAACAAAACAGGAUAUUGUUACUGGUAUAGGAAGAGGGACACCCUAUAAAAGGCCAAGAAUGGUUGGUAUGGGAAUUCUAUAAACAGAAAGUGGAGCUUCCAUCUAUAAUCCUGGAGUGUCAGCUGUGCCUAUGAACUCUGCAGUAGUGACUGGAGAUAUUGGACACAAGCCAAGAACAAGGGUGAAAUGAAAAGGUAAAGAAGUUAUCACCUCAAGGAAUCUUCAACAUAUUCAAGCUAAGAAAAGAAUAAAGACAAGGUCAAAGGCAUCUGAAAGAGUUCGUUUGAGCCAAACAAGUUCAUCAGCACCACAAUCCCUAGUAGAUAUUAGAACUUUAGUUUUUUUGUUUGCCUUU